rnacentral:misc_RNA from 1 species
GAAUUCACCAACUACACCUGAUUUCACCAUCUCUAUGUUUUGCUCCAUAUCAGCCAGUCCUUUACCAUAUUCAAAGGAGUUGCAGUUUUGAGUACUUCGAGAGUUUUGAUGCAGUUUUUUGGAAUCAUCCUAAUUUAAAAUGCAAAAUACUUCAGACAAGAUAAAAUAUACCAAUUAGCAGAAUGAAUAAAAUUGCAAGUGCACACAGUUGUGUAGACAAACUCAAACAUAUGAUAAAUUGAAAGGCAAGUUGAAAUGUCUAGAAAACUAGGCAACCCAAUAUACUUGUAUCAUUCGGCAUAUUGAUUCUUAUUAAGAGAUAAUACAAUCAGCAUAUUGAAAAUCAUUUUGUAUUAAUUCCUAAAUUUGCUUGAACUCAUCUAAAAGAAAGAGAAAUUCACUUUGCAAGAUACCAUAAUUAAAAAAACCGUAAAAUUCUUCUAAGGAAACCGGAGACUAAUUCAGUAUUAGAUGCCCAGCUGCACUCUUCUAGAAGAAGAUUUGGAACCAGAUAUCCACAACUCAGAAUUUCAAUCUUUUGUUGGAGAAAAAUUAUAAAACACAGUUUCAAGCUUCUAAAGGAAUUUGCUUUUUAUAUGUAACAGGAAAAAUCCUAUGACGCCAAGCUAUCCUGUAAAAUAUCUGUCCAAAAUGCUCAUGCUGCCCAUUAUCUGCCAUUUGCUAAUAGUGAUUUUCUCAGCCAAGCGAAUCUACAAUGUUGAAAAUUACCAUUUAAAUGGCAACUUCUACCAGAAUUCAUCAACCAAAACAUUCAGCAACAAAACAUUCAGCAAAAAUACAGUAUUAUGGUAUAAAAUUCAUCACUCGGAAAAUAUUUGCUGUAGAAAGUUAAUAACGUAUGCAACGCGAAGAGGGGAAAAAAAG